CCCUUAGAUGUUCUGGGCUGCACGCGCGCUACACUGAAGCGUUCAACGAGUAUUCACCUUGCCCGGGAGGGUUGGGUAAUCUUUUGAAAACGCUUCGUGAUGGGGAUAGAUUAUUGCAAUUAUUAAUCUUCAACGAGGAAUUCCUAGUAAGCGCGAGUCAUCAGCUCGUGCUGAUUACGUCCCUGCCCUUUGUACACACCGCCCGUCGCACCUACCGAUUGAAUGGUCCGGUGAAAUCUCGGGACGGCGGCUCGGUCGCUUGCGUCCGACUGCUGAAACUUGAUUAAACCAUAUCAUUUAGAGGAAGGUGGAGUCGUAACA
rnacentral:rRNA from 1 species